rnacentral:rRNA from 1 species
UACGGGGGGAGCAAGCGUUGUUCGGAUUUACUGGGCGUAAAGGGCGCGUAGGCGGCGUGACAAGUCACUUGUGAAAUCUCCGGGCUUAACUCGGAGCGGCCAAGUGAUACUGUCGUGCUAGAGUGCGGAAGGGGCUACUGGAAUUCUCGGUGUAGCGGUGAAAUGCGUAGAUAUCGAGAGGAACACCUGCGGCGAAGGCGGGUAGCUGGGCCGACACUGACGCUGGAGGCGCGAAAGCCUAGGGGAGCGAACGGG